UACAGAGGGUGCAAGCGUUAAUCGGAAUGACUGGGCGUAAAGGGCGCGUAGGUGGAUGCAUAAGUAAAUUGUGAAAGACCCGGGCUUAACCUGGGAAGGUCAAUUUAAACGGUGCAUCUAGAGUGGAGUAGAGGGAAGUAGAAUUUCCGGUGUAGCGGUGAAAUGCGUAGAUAUCGGAAGGAAUACCGGUGGCGAAGGCGUCUUCCUGGACUCUAACUGACACUGAGGCGCGAAAGCAUGGGGAUCAAACAGG
rnacentral:rRNA from 1 species